rnacentral:rRNA from 1 species
GGUGUGUAACUGACGUUGAGGAGCGAAAGCGUGGGGAGCGACCAGGAUUAGAUACCCUGUUAGUCCACGCCGUAAACGAUGAGUGCUAAAUGUUAGGGGGUUUCCGCCCCUUAGUGGUGCAGCUAACGCAUUAAGCACUCCGCCUGGGGAGUACGGUCGCAAGACUGAAACUCAAAGGAAUUGACGGGGGCCCGCACAAGCGGUGGAGCAUGUGGUUUAAUUAGAAGCAACGCGAAGAACCUUACCAUGUCUUGACAUCCUGUGUCAACCCUAGAGAUAGGGCUUUCCUUUCGGGGUCAGAGUCACAGGUGGUGCAUGGUUGUUGUCAGCUCGUGUCGUGAGAUGUUGGGUUAAGUCCCGCAACGAGCGCACCCCUUGAUUUUAGUUCCCAGCAUUCAGUUGGGCACUCUAAGGUGACUGCCGGUGACAAACCGGAGGAAGGUGGGGAUGACGUCAAAUCAUCAUGCCCCUUAUGACCUGGGCUACACACGUGCUACAAUGGACAGAACAAAGGGAUGCGAGCCCGCAAGGUCUAGCCAAUCCCACAAAUCUGUUCUCAGUUCGGAUCGCAGUCUGCAACUCGACUGCGUGAAUCUGGAAUCGCUAGUAAU